ACUGCCUGUGUUUACCAAAGCAACAACAUGGUGUUCGCUAACGAUGAAAAUUUAAAGACCUUGACCACUCGUGUCCUUUUCCUACACGCUGAGGAUGCCAAUGUGGUUCCUUUUGACAUGGGCCAGAAGCUGUACCAGAUUGCACUUCAAGCCCCUGAACAACGGUAUGCAGAGGACCAGGUGCGCAUGGUAUCUACAGUGAAUCCUUGGGAUACUCA